rnacentral:rRNA from 1 species
AUUGAACGCUGGCGGCAGGCCUAACACAUGCAAGUCGAGCGGAUGAAGGGAGCUUGCUCCUGGAUUCAGCGGCGGACGGGUGAGUAAUGCCUAGGAAUCUGCCUGGUAGUGGGGGAUAACGUCCGGAAACGGGCGCUAAUACCGCAUACGUCCUGAGGGAGAAAGUGGGGGAUCUUCGGACCUCACGCUAUCAGAUGAGCCUAGGUCGGAUUAGCUAGUUGGUGGGGUAAAGGCCUACCAAGGCGACGAUCCGUAACUGGUCUGCGAGGAGGAUCAGUCACACGGGAACUGAGACACGGUCCAGAGUCCUACGGGAGGCAGCAGUGGGGAAUAUUGGACAAUGGGCGGAAGCCUUAUCCAGCCAGGCCGCGUGUGUGAAGAAGGUCUUCGGAUUGGAAAGCACUUUAAGUUGGGGGGAAGGGCAGUAAGUUAAUACCUUGCUGUUUUGACGUUACCAACAGAAUAAGCACCGGCUAACUUCGUG